rnacentral:sRNA from 12 species
CCUGUGGAGUGUUUACAUCAAACCAAAGUAGCUCCGGCAAAAUGGGACACUGUGAAGCAGGAA